UGACUGAGUGGCGGACGGGUGAGUAACGCGUGGGUAACCUGCCCUGUACAGGGGGAUAACAGUUGGAAACGGCUGCCAAUACCGCAUAAGCGCACGAGAGGACAUCCUCUUGUGUGAAAAACUCCGGUGGUACAGGAUGGGCCCGCGUCUGAUUAGCUGGUUGGCAGGGUAACGGCCUACCAAGGCGACGAUCAGUAGCCGGUCUGAGAGGAUGAACGGCCACAUUGGAACUGAGACACGGUCCAAACUCCUACGGGAGGCAGCAGUGGGGAAUAUUGCACAAUGGGGGAAACCCUGAUGCAGCAACGCCGCGUGAGUGAAGAAGUAUUUCGGUAUGUAAAGCUCUAUCAGCAGGGAAGAUAAUGACGGUACCUGACUAAGAAGCUCCGGCUAAAUACGUGCCAGCAGCCGCGGUAAUACGUAUGGAGCAAGCGUUAUCCGGAUUCACUGGGUGUAAAGGGUGCGUAGGUGGCAGUGCAAGUCAGAUGUGAAAGGCCGGGGCUCAACCCCGGAGCUGCAUUUGAAACUGCUCGGCUAGAGUACAGGAGAGGCAGGCGGAAUUCCUAGUGUAGCGGUGAAAUGCGUAGAUAUUAGGAGGAACACCAGUGGCGAAGGCGGCCUGCUGGACUGUUACUGACACUGAGGCACGAAAGCGUGGGGAGCAAACAGGAUUAGAUACCCUGGUAGUCCACGCCGUAAA
rnacentral:rRNA from 2 species